GACGAACGCUGGCGGCGUGCUUAACACAUGCAAGUCGAACGAAGUGGCGAACGGGUGAGUAACGCGUAAUCAACCUGCCCUUCAGAGGGGGAUAACAGUUGGAAACGACUGCUAAUCCCGCAUACUGAAGGAGGGGUUUGCGUCUGAUUAGCUAGUUGGAGGGGUAACGGCCCACCAAGGCGAUGAUCAGUAGCCUGGCUGAGAGGAUGAACGGCCACAUUGGGACGGGUAAACGGCCCAGACUCCUACGGGAGGCAGCAGGGGGGGAACUCCCGAAAUGGACGAAAGUCUGACGGAGCAACGCCGCGUGAGGGAUGACGGGCUUCGGGUUGGAAAGCUCUGUUAAUCGGGACGCGGUACCGGAAUAGAAAGCCACGGCUAACUACGUGCCAGCAGCCGCGGUAAUAC
rnacentral:rRNA from 1 species